rnacentral:rRNA from 1 species
UGACAGGUGGUGUCAUGGUUGUCGUCAGCUCGUGUCGUGAGAUGUUGGGUUAAGUCCCGCAACGAGCGCAACCCUCGACCUUAGUUGCCAGCAUUCAGUUGGGCACUCUAAGGUGACUGCCGGCUAAAAGUCGGAGGAAGGUGGGGAUGACGUCAAAUCAUCAUGCCCCUUAUGACCUGGGCUACACACGUGCUACAAUGGGCGGUACAAAGGGUCGCGAACCCGCGAGGGGGAGCCAAUCCCAAAAAGCCGCUCUCAGUUCGGAUUGCAGGCUGCAACUCGCCUGCAUGAAGCCGGAAUCGCUAGUAAUCGCGGAUCAGCAUGCCGCGGUGAAUACGUUCCCGGGCCUU